CCUACGGGAGGCAGCAGUGGGGAAUAUUGGACAAUGGGGGGAACCCUGAUCCAGCCAUGCCGCGUGUGUGAAGAAGGCCCUCGGGUUGUAAAGCACUUUCAGUGAGGAAGAACGCCUGGUGGUUAAUACCCAUCAGGAAAGACAUCACUCACAGAAGAAGCACCGGUUAACUCCGUGCCAGCAGCCGCGGUAAUACGGAGGGUGCGAGCGUUAAUCGGAAUUACUGGGCGUAAAGCGCGCGUAGGUGGCUUGAUAAGCCGGUUGUGAAAGCCCCGGGCUCAACCUGGGAACGGCAUCCGGAACUGUCAAGCUAGAGUGCAGGAGAGGAAGGUAGAAUUCCCGGUGUAGCGGUGAAAUGCGUAGAGAUCGGGAGGAAUACCAGUGGCGAAGGCGGCCUUCUGGACUGACACUGACACUGAGGUGCGAAAGCGUGGGUAGCAAACAGGAUUAGAUACCCCUGUAGUC
rnacentral:rRNA from 1 species